ACAGGGGUCAGUUAGUGCAGGGAGCAGUGCCUGGACGGCUUCUCCUCAAGUUAAGAAGCAGAGCAGCUGGCCCAGGGGAUAAGCAGCUCUCUCUCCCUCGCCAGCAUCUGACUUCCUGCCUGCAGCCCAGCGGCACUUCCUGUCUGCCCCCUGCUUAACUCCCUGCUCUCAGCAGCUGGCUCUCGGCUCAGCCCUCCUGCUCAUCCAUCCUUAACACACAUUCACACUGUGAGGCGGCCUCCCCCAGCCCCCAAAGAGGCCGUGCCCGCCGUGCUCGGGACGAUCUCUGCCACUUUCCAUUUGGCUCCUACCUACCGCCACAUGCUUGCGCCACAACAGGGCAGAGGAGGAGAGAGCCUUCCAGCUGCAAGCAUCCUUGGGAGGUGCCUCAAGAAGGCAAGGUUGGGGGGGAGUGGUGUGGUUUGCUUAAAAACCCGGGAACCUGGGAAAAAUAUUACUGUUUAAUUCGGGCCUACGGCCAAAUUCCACAGGACACGUGGUGGUAUAGUGUGGUCCAGAGUGUGCUGGCAGGAGCUGGAAGUCACCUCGACUCACCCUCUUUGUCCCUCUCUUUCCGAUGGCACACCCAAUUCUGGCCUCACUGUCACCUGGGGGACCAUCGCCAGGGUGACCCCCAGCUCUCCCCUAGACACCUCAGAGCAAGAAGGCACUGAGCCAUCUCAGCAGUUGUUACAGUAACCAUCACACCCGGAUCUCACCAGCCCCAGUUCGCAGGGGCUUGGAGGUUAACUAAAUCAUCUGGGAAUUGUCUCCCGGCAGGACUAGGGCUGUAGACGAAGACUUUCUGGCUCUGAAGACCGUGUUUUCACCUGCUGAGCUGUGCUGUGCCCAGAUCCCUAAGCUGGUCCUGCGGGGAAUGCUGAGGAAGCAGGGUGAUGUGAUCCCUCUUCCCCGGGAGGCCACAGCCGAACGGACAACAGGACACCGACAUUUCCUGAGCCCCCGACCCACAGUGGCCUCCAUUCCGUUACCUGCAUAGUUACAUUGCAGGGCAGAAAUAUCCCAAUUUUACGGCAAAGUAAACAGGAUCAGAGAGGCAAAGUAAGCUGCCCAAGAUCACACAGCUAAUGAGCGGUGGAGCUGGGGUUCGAUGGAGGUCCAUGUGGCUUCCAAGCCCGCAUUCUUUCCCACGCCCUGCCUGGCAGAUACAGAUACACGCUGAGGGAAGGUGGACCUGGUGGGCGGGUUGUUGCCACGGCCUCUUCUCCCCAACGUGGGAGAGUCAGGGACAGACACGGAGGUCCUGGAUGCUAGGUGUUGCCCAUCCUGGGGACACAAUACCCCAGGCUUGGACCACAGGCGAGGCCAUGCUCUUAGCAGCAGACGGCCCCAGUAAGGGGGUGACUGACAUAUACAGAACCCAAGGGAAGCUGGGCAUGGUGGCCAAGUGGGCGCGGGGGCUCCCCGAGAGGAGCCGCGGAAUCCACAUCAGAGAACUCAUGGCAGGGGGGAAGGUAGCCGCGUUUACAACCUGAUGAGAUCUUGGCUGGGUCUCUGAGGAGUCUCAUUAAAAAUCAAAUUGGCCCUGAAUUGUGGGAGUAACACUUUUUAUUCUGAUUUGAGCUUUACAAAUUAGAUUUCAUAGGACAUUUUAA